GAUGAAUGCUAGCGGGAGGCCUAAUACAUGCAAGUCGAACGGUAACAGGUAGCAAUACGCUGACGAGUGGCGCACGGGUGCGUAACGCGUACACAAUCUGCCUUAUACUGGGGCAUAGCCUUUGGAAACGAAGAAUAAUUCCCCAUAAUAUAUAGAAGAGGCAUCUCUUUUAUAUUAAAGCUCAGGCGGUAUAAGAUGAGUGUGCGUCCGAUUAGGUAGUUGGUGAGGUAACGGCUCACCAAGCCAACGAUCGGUAGCUGGUCUGAGAGGAUGAUCAGCCACACGGGCACUGAGACACGGGCCCGACUCCUACGGGAGGCAGCAGUAGGGAAUAUUGGACAAUGGGCGCAAGCCUGAUCCAGCCAUCCCGCGUGAAGGA
rnacentral:rRNA from 1 species